AUACGUAGGGGCCAAACGUUGUCCGGAUUUAUUGGGCGUAAAGGGCUCGUAGGCGGUUCAACAAGUCGAUCGUGAAAGCCCGGGGCUCAACCCCGGGACGCCGGUCGAAACUGUUGUGACUAGGGUCCGGUAGAGGUGAGUGGAAUUCUCGGUGUAGCGGUGGAAUGCGCAGAUAUCGAGAGGAACACCAGUUGCGAAGGCGGCUCACUGGGCCGGUACCGACGCUAAGGAGCGAAAGCGUGGGGAGCAAACAGGAUUAGAUACCCCGGUAGUCC
rnacentral:rRNA from 1 species